GAAAAAUCCUAUAAUUUAAAAUGUGUCUAACAAGAGGGUGUAAAUUAUCUCAGUAAUAAAAGAAAAUCAUAUUGCUACAAGAUUAUUAACAUUAAGAAAAUCAACUCCUUUCUUGAGUUAAUAUGGUGUGGCCAAGGCAGCGGGAGCGGGAUAAACGGACGCGCCAAGGAGCCGUGAAGAAGGCCCAGCAAAGUGCUUCUUUCUCUCUGGAAGGAUGUCGGCUCUCUGUGCUUUGCCAUCCCUGAGGACGCUUGAUGUCAUCUUGUCUACCUGAUCAUUACACUACCUGCUCUCCUCUACAAUGCUGCCCUCUCGCUGCUCCGCCACUUGAAAUUCUUGGCUGGCCUCUUCUCUGAAACCAUCAGGAAAUUGUGCGCUAAAACGCUGCAGACUGUUCCCCCUCUCUCCUCCCUCCAGCCAUGUGUGCAGGAGCCAGAAAAAGAUUCCUCCACUGCUGCUCAGUCAAAGGGAAAACACACAAAAUGUCCUUCAGCCGCCUGCCACCGCUCACCUCUCACAGCUUUUAUAGGACUUAUUGAUGUUUGUAGUGUGUGGCAUUUUACUGCAAUAUCCAAGUACAUUUAAUGGACACAAACCAAGUUGUUUGAAUAAAGAGUUCCUUUUGUAGAUUUCAUCGUUUAUUAAGUCCCACGUGUAAAGAAGCACAGGUGUAAAUAAUAAAAUGAAUGAUGGCUUAAUACCAUUUGGCUGCUUCAGUGUAAGGGUCCUGGUGUUGAGGAUGCUGCUUCACUGUCACACAGUCAUGACUAUUGCUUACAUUAUUAGUAACAGCUGUGAAAGGUGCAAUGUGGAGUGGAGUUUUCAGUACUUGAAAGCCUAAGUCACGGCGAAGAUGCCCCAAGAACACCGCUAGUGUCUAUUUAAGCUGAGCAAACAAUAUAUUCCAUUCAUGAACACAAUGAUUUACAAACAUUAACACACUGCGAGUGAAUGUGUUCAUCUGCAGUUCAAACUACGUGUAAAUGAUCUAGAUAAUAGGAAUGAAUAACAAAUCAUGUGCUCUGUAUAUUGAAAUGUUGGUUUAUUUCACAUAAAGCUAAACCUGUUUCAAUGUGAGCACCUGAGUAUUGUUCUAAGACUUGAAACUUACACAUUUUUCUAUAAGGUCCUUUUUACACACUGUUUGUAUUGUGUAAUAUAACAAUUUAACUCAGUAAGGUAAUAAAUCACUACAUUGUCAGUUACAUUACUGUCAGUAGACGCGACACAGGUACAUUUUUACUAAAGAUUAUUUAACAGAAGACUCUUUCACAUGUAUUAGUUGCUUGUAAAGUAUGCUGAUAUUUGAGUUAGUUAGGUCUACUUCUCUCUUCUUAUUCUUCCAGACUCUUACUGACAAUUUGGCAGCAUGCAGAAACUCUUUUUAGAUAUUCUGAAAUCAGUGUAGGCGUAAACACACUAACACUUGUACUGAAACACUGAAGAGCAUCAUGUAACAAAAAUGAUUUCAACAUUUCAGUUCAUUUUUUGUCAGGUUGUGUGAACAUGGCAGCAGUGUGAAGAUGGCAGCAGUGUUCUAGCAGUGAUCUGGCUCACAUCCGUACAGUCAGUGGAGACCCACAGUAAAGAACGCAGCGUCCUGCUGCUGGACAUUAAGCAGUGGAGGGUGAAGAAGUGUCUUGCUCAAGAGCAACUCAGCGGCAUCUACAGAGGGAGGGGACGCCUCUAACUAUUAGUUUUUCUUUCCCAGUUGCACUCAGCCGGCUCAUCCUGGGAUUUAAACCCUCGCAGAUGAGCUUCUGUUAGAUGGCCCACUGUUCUGUUCCAUCGCACACUUCAAAAUAAAAGUCCUGAAAUAACUGUGCUUUUACAGUAAUACGCCUGUUGUAUUUACUGAAAUUGUUUGACAUUAGAGAUUAUGUACUUCAUGUAUUAAAUGUAAAAGACACAAAUGCAUCUGAUAUACACUAUUCUUCAUUUCCUAAAGUAACUAAUUUACACAAUAUAGCUUUCCAUCAUAGGGACAUUCUCUGGAACUCCUAUAUAUUUUAUUCUUCCUGAUGUUUAUGGGUUUGAAGUAUUAAACUUGAGCAUGAGUUGUUUGUUUUUGACUUUUGUGCACCUUCAAAUGAAUACACAUCUGAAGUUUCAUCGUAAUGAACAUAGGCUGGAAGAUGCACGACACACACUACCAAAUCCACCAUUUCAUUAUACGUUUGGGGUAAAUGCUGGGCAGUGGUGGAAAGUAACUAAGUACAUUUACUCAAGUACUGUACAUAAGUACAAUUUUCAGAUUUAUGUACUUUACUUAUAUAUUUCCAUUUCACACUAUAUACUUCUAGUCCUCUACAUUUUAUAUAUUGUUAUUUUUAUAUUUAUUUAAUAACUUCAGUUACUAGUUACUUUGCAGAUGUAAAAUAUUAAUACAAAAUGUUAAUCAACUAAGACAGCAGCAUAUAAAGUAAUUUAAAUUAGCCACACCUUUAUAACCCAGUGAUAUCAUAUAUAUGAUUCUGAAAUGGGCGUUCUGCAUGAGUACUUUUACUUUUGGUACUUUAAGUAUAUUUUGGUGCGAAUACUUACGUACUUUUACUUCAGUACGAUUUUGAAUGCAGGACUUUUACUUGUAACAAAGUAUUUUUACACUGUAGUAUUGCUAAGUAAAAUAUCUGCUUCUUCCACCACUGGGUGAAGGUAAACAAUGACCUCAUUAAAUACAGUAUAUACAAAUGUUUAGAUUCACUUAAGUGUCACGAGGAAAGGCAUUUAUUCUGAAUUCAAUUUUAGAGUGUGUUCAUGAGUGAGUGUGUGAGCUGUUUUUAUUUGUUUAAUGCUGUAGGUGUGUAUCUCCCCUACAGGCUAACUACUGUGCACUGCUGUAGUUAAACUACAACAAAGCAUCAUGUGUUUCAUAUGUUGCAUCUUAUUCUGUAAAGUGAAUAUUAAAAACUGCUGUCAGAUACAUUUAUUGGAAUAAA